rnacentral:rRNA from 1 species
AUUGAACGCUGGCGGCAUGCCUUACACAUGCAAGUCGAACGGUAACGGGCCUUCGGGUGCCGACGAGUGGCGAACGGGUGAGUAAUACAUCGGAACGUGCCCGAUCGUGGGGGAUAACGAGGCGAAAGCUUUGCUAAUACCGCAUACGAUCUACGGAUGAAAGCAGGGGACCGCAAGGCCUUGCGCGGACGGAGCGGCCGAUGGCAGAUUAGGUAGUUGGUGGGAUAAAAGCUUACCAAGCCGACGAUCUGUAGCUGGUCUGAGAGGAUGAUCAGCCACACUGGGACUGAGACACGGCCCAGACUCCUACGGGAGGCAGCAGUGGGGAAUUUUGGACAAUGGGCGCAAGCCUGAUCCAGCCAUGCCGCAUGCAGGAUGAAGGCCUUCGGGUUGUAAACUGCUUUUGUACGGAACGAAAAGCCUUCUUUUAAUACAGGAGGGUCAUGACGGUACCGUAAGAAUAAGCACCGGCUAACUACGU